rnacentral:rRNA from 1 species
CAUGAAGCCGGAAUCGCUAGUAAUCGCGGAUCAGAAUGCCGCGGUGAAUACGUUCCCGGGUCUUGUACACACCGCCCGUCAAACCAUGAGAGUUGGCAACACCCGAAGUCGGUAGUCUAACCGCAAGGAGGACGCCGCCGAAGGUGGGGUUGAUGAUUAGGGUUAAGUCGUAACAAGGUAAC